CUUCAGCAAGGAAAGGGUUAAGAACAUUUUCUAUGCUAUAGCUGUCAUGCGCUUGGACAGUUAACUGCCGUGUGCCGAGUCUGUUGGCAGUUGGGCGGCGGCCAUCUUAGGAGGAUGGGCAGAGUGAAACAGGACCUAGGAGCAGAAGGUGCUGAGCUGAUUUGGUGGUGUACAUGGUGACCAAAGGAGGCUCCUUACCUGAUCUUCAAUAAAUCAGAGUCCAGCAGCUGACAAAGAGAGUGUCUAUGGAGUGAUCAGAGGAGCGGCACCAGUGGCUGGAGACGGAGGGCAGCAGCAGUCGGGAAGCAGGAGCGGGGAUUUGCCCGGCAGCUGCGCGAGGUCCGCGGUGUGUGACUGAGGAGGUGGGGAGGGAUGCGGAUGGGCAGAGGAAGCAGGACUCCAGCCUGAGAGAGUCAGCCAUGCCAAGUCUCCACCAGCAGCAGAUCUCAACAGGUUGGAGUGGAACAGCAGCAGCCAGCAGCA